rnacentral:rRNA from 1 species
AUUGAACGCUGGCGGCAGGCUUAACACAUGCGAGUCGAGCGGAGAUGAGGUGCUUGCACCUUAUCUUAGCGGCGGACGGGUGAGUAAUGCUUAGGAAUCUGCCUAUUAGUGGGGGACAACAUUCCGAAAGGAAUGCUAAUACCGCAUACGUCCUACGGGAGAAAGCAGGGGAUCUUCGGACCUUGCGCUAAUAGAUGAGCCUAAGUCGGAUUAGCUAGUUGGUGGGGUAAAGGCCUACCAAGGCGACGAUCUGUAGCGGGUCUGAGAGGAUGAUCCGCCACACUGGGACUGAGACACGGCCCAGACUCCUACGGGGGCAGCAGUGGGGGAUAUUGGACAAUGGGGGGAACCCUGAUCCAGCCAUGCCGCGUGUGUGAAGAAGGCCUUAUGGUUGUAAAGCACUUUAAGCGAGGAGGAGGCUACUGAGACUAAUACUCUUGGAUAGUGGACGUUACUCGCAGAAUAAGCACCGGCUAACUCUGUGCCAGCCGCCGCAGUAAUAC